rnacentral:sRNA from 1 species
AGAGGCCAGCAUAUUAUCUGGCUGCAACACCUGUUUCCCACUAUGCCCGGGACUGAAUGGGCUAAUCGGGCUGGCAAAGUGGGUGUGUCCCCUUCCUCCCUCACUGCUCCAUGUGCGUCCAUCCUGAAGCUGCCCACUUGGUUUAAUGACCUUCCCUAAACAGAAGGACCAUUCCACAGUCAAGGUCAUAGGAGCAGCUCGCUCCCGGCUAGAAUCCCAAGCAAGCUCUNNNNN